GAUGAAGAACGUAGUGAAAUGCGAUAAGUAAUGUGAAUUGCAGAAUUCAGUGAAUCAUCGAAUCUUUGAACGCACCUUGCGCCCUUUGGCUAUUCCGAAGGGCAUGCCUGUUUGAGUAUCAUGAACACCUCAACCCUCAUGGUUUGCCAUGACGGGCUUGGACUUUGGGGGUCUUGCUGGAUUGUAGUCAGCUCCCCUUAAACAAAUCAGCUUGCCAGUGUUUGGUGGCAUCACAGGUGUGAUAACUAUCUAUGCUUGUGGUUUUACAUCAGAUAACCUUCAGUGAUGGAGGUUCACUGGAGCUCAUAAAGGUGUCUCUCCUCUGUGAGGACAGCUCUUUGAAUGUUUGAUCUCAAAUCAGGCAGGACUACCCGCUGAACUUAAGCAUAUCAAUAAGCGGAGGA
rnacentral:misc_RNA from 1 species